rnacentral:rRNA from 1 species
UGAGUAACACGUGGGAACGUGCCUUUUGGUUCGGAAUAACUCAGGAAACUUGUGCUAAUACCGAAUGUGCCCUUCGGGGGAAAGAUUUAUCGCCAUUAGAGCGGCCCGCGUCUGAUUAGCUAGUUGGUGAGGUAACGGCUCACCAAGGCGACGAUCAGUAGCUGGUCUGAGAGGAUGACCAGCCACACUGGGACUGAGACACGGCCCAGACUCCUACGGGAGGCAGCAGUGGGGAAUCUUGCGCAAUGGGCGAAAGCCUGACGCAGCCAUGCCGCGUGAAUGAUGAAGGUCUUAGGAUUGUAAAAUUCUUUCACCGGGGACGAUAAUGACGGUACCCGGAGAAGAAGCCCCGGCUAACUUCGUGCCAGCAGCCGCGGUAAUACGAAGGGGGCUAGCGUUGCUCGGAAUUACUGGGCGUAAAGGGCGCGUAGGCGGAUCGUUAAGUCAGAGGUGAAAUCCCAGGGCUCAACCCUGGAACUGCCUUUGAUACUGGCGAUCUUGAGUAUGAGAGAGGUAUGUGGAACUCCGAGUGUAGAGGUGAAAUUCGUAGAUAUUCGGAAGAACACCAGUGGCGAAGGCGACAUACUGGCUCAUUACUGACGCUGAGGCGCGAAAGCGUGGGGAGCAAACAGGAUUAGAUACCUGGUAGUCCACGCCGUAAACGAUGAUUGCUAGUUGUC